GUUCACAUAAACACACAUAUACUAAAAUUGGAAUGAUACAGAGAUUAGCAUGGGCCUCUGUGCAAGGAUGACUCGCAAAUUCAUUCCAUUAAAAAAAAAAAA